rnacentral:rRNA from 1 species
UAGUUUGAUCAUGGCUCAGGAUGAACGCUAGCGACAGGCUUAACACAUGCAAGUCGAGGGGCAGCGGAGGUGAAGGCUUGCCUUCACCUGCCGGCGACCGGCGCACGGGUGAGUAACACGUAUGCAACCUGCCUGCCACAGCCGGAUAAUCGGGAGAAAUCCCGUCUAAUACGGCAUGACACACCUUGGGGACAUCCCCGUGGUGUCAAAGGUUGAUUCCGGUGGCGGAUGGGCAUGCGUCGCAUUAGUUAGUUGGCGGUGUAACGGACCACCAAGACGACGAUGCGUAGGGGUUCUGAGAGGAAGGUCCCCCACACUGGUACUGAGACACGGACUCCAGACUCUACGGGAGGCAGCAGUGAGGAAUAUUGGUCAAUGGGCGGGAGCCUGAACCAGCCAAGUCGCGUGAGGGAAGACGGCCCUAUGGGUUGUAAACCUCUUUUGCCGGGGAGCAAAGCGCCGCACGUGUGCGGCUUGGAGAGUGCCCGGAGAAAAAGCAUCGGCUAACUCCGUGCCAGCAGCCGCGGUAAUACGGAGGAUGCGAGCGUUAUCCGGAUUUAUUGGGUUUAAAGGGUGCGUAGGCGGUCUGUUAAGUCAGCGGUAAAAUUGCGGGGCUCAACCUCGCCGAGCCGUUGAAACUGGUAGACUUGAGUGGGCGAGAAGUACGCGGAAUGCGUGGUGUAGCGGUGAAAUGCAUAGAUAUCACGCAGAACUCCGAUUGCGAAGGCAGCGUACCGGCGCCCAACUGACGCUGAAGCACGAAGGCGUGGGUAUCGAACAGGAUUAGAUACCCUGGUAGUCCACGCAGUAAACGAUGAAUGCUAGUUGUCCGGUGCGAUUGAGCAUUGGGUGACACAGCGAAAGCGUUAAGCAUUCCACCUGGGGAGUACGCCGGCAACGGUGAAACUCAAAGGAAUUGACGGGGGCCCGCACAAGCGGAGGAACAUGUGGUUUAAUUCGAUGAUACGCGAGGAACCUUACCCGGGCUCAAACGCAGGAGGGAUGUUUUUGAAAGGAGGCAGCCAGCAAUGGUCUCCUGCGAGGUGCUGCAUGGUUGUCGUCAGCUCGUGCCGUGAGGUGUCGGCUUAAGUGCCAUAACGAGCGCAACCCCUACCGACAGUUGCCAUCGCGUGAUGGCGGGCACUCUGUUGGGACUGCCUGCGCAAGCAGUGAGGAAGGCGGGGAUGACGUCAAAUCAGCACGGCCCUUACGUCCGGGGCGACACACGUGUUACAAUGGCAGGUACAGCGGGAAGCCACCCGGCGACGGGGCGCGGAACCCGAAAACCUGUCUCAGUUCGGAUUGGAGUCUGCAACCCGACUCCAUGAAGCUGGAUUCGCUAGUAAUCGCGCAUCAGCCACGGCGCGGUGAAUACGUUCCCGGGCCUUGUACACACCGCCCGUCAAGCCAUGGAAGCCGGGAGUGCCUGAAGUGCGUGACCGCAAGGAGCGCCCUAAGGUAAAACCGGUGACUGGGGCUAAGUCGUAACAAGGUAGCC